GGCCGAGCACGCAUGGGCCGGCCUGCGGGCCAAGAUCCAGGCCGCCCACUGUGCAAAGAUCUUUUUCUUUUUCUUUUUAUGCAAUUUUUGUUUGAUGUUUGAAAUUAUGUGAUAAAUUGUGUGCUAAUCCAAAAAUGAUGAAAGUUUUUGUAUAGGUUCCAUAAAGUGGGUAGAACACAAGAAAAAUAGUGGAUUCUGUUUUCUGGUAGUUUACAUGUCUGUAAAAAUUUGCUAUUUUAAUUAGUGAAUAAAACUUCUAGGAAUUUUAAUAAUUUAUUUGUAUGUCCAAAAAUCACCAAAAAUUGUGGGGAGCCUCUGAAUAUUAUUUCCAGGCUUCACACAAAAUUUGGUGGCAUUUGGAUAAUGUUUGAAUAAAAUAUUAGUAAACCCUUAUUUAGUACUUAAAUAAUAAUUCCAAAAUAAUUAGAUAGUGAUUAGUGAAAUCCUCAUAAUUAGGGUUGAGUGAUUUUGAGAUUGUGUGAUGACCUGAGGUCAUUAACCCUAAUGACCUUUGGUAUUCAGUUAUUGUUUAACCUUAAUGUUUAAUUACUGUCAUUAGCAGUUAAUUAAGAAUUUAUUAAGGUAAAUAGGGUUAAUAAUUAGUUAAUUCAGGUUAAUUAUGAAUUAAAAGAGAUUUUGCUUUGCAAAUACAACCUCUUGGAUAAAAACAGUAAAUUAUUAAACAACUUUAUUUGGUGACGAUUUGUAUUGCAUCAAGAAGGCGAGUUGUACUCGAUUUGGUCCUUCUUACAUAUUUGUCAUACGCAUAUCAUGAGCACCCAUCAUUUUGCGUAUAGUGUCCGUGACCGAAGGAGCGCCCGUUGAACCGAACCCCGAGGUCGGUGCUCCGUUCGAGGAAGUCGGAUCCGAGACUUGGGAAGUCUCCGAGGGUCCCUCUCUGCCCUGCAACCAAGGCAAGCCCCGGAUGCAUGAACCCCUCCUUGGAUGUUUUAAAUCUUUUAUUACUUAUGAAUUGAAAAUGCUGCAUUAGGUAGUUGAGAAUUGGGUUAACCUACUUGCUGCAUUUACUACCUUGAUAUCUGUUAUCCUGUCCUUGACGCCUGUUUUAUUUUAAAAACUGCGUAGUGAUGCUUAGCCCUGCUACUAGAUAGGUUUUCAAACAAGAAAGUUUGAAGGGUUGUUGUGGAAUACACUUAUGUUCAAUGAUGUUUCAACUUGAGACCGGUCGGUGGACUUGCUUUAAGAAUGGAGUCUUAAAGUAGUGUCUCCAACUGUGUCGGUUAAGGACCGGUCCGUUGAUGGCCUGCUGGGUUGAGAAUUUAUAGUACUAGCCACUUGCCCUCGGUAAGCCCGGUCUUGUGAUCCCUCGACGCGAACAGCUACUCGCGCACUGGGAGUGGAAAGAUGGCGAGAGUAGUGUGUACCCACCUUACGGGUCUGAGAUGACCGGAAAACAUCUAGAUCGGCUGUAGGAUGGUGGGGUACUGUGCUCUCGGGUGCCGCGAACCUGGUCAAAUUUGGGGAGAGCUUGAUUUGGGUUGAUAUAUGCAAGAUUUGGUUCUACAUAUGUCGGGUGGUUAGGAACUCCAGCUGGAUUGCUAAGCGAUUCGAAUCGUCGUUGCUCCCCGAUUGGGAGACUCAAUUCCUUCGACCCUCAUCGUAGUUAAAUAAGCAACUGAAUGAUAAAAUGAGAAAGGGGAAAAUGUCUCAUGAGGUUCGGAUCCCAAUUCCCGGACUCAUAGCGACAUGAAGCUAUGGCCAUCGAUAAAUAAUACUUUGUGAUGGGACUAGGAACUCACGGAUUCGUCUGUGGGGAACAACUAGUUAAACUAUCCUCGAACUCCUCAGCCUCUGCGGAAGAGGAAUUCGCGGUUAAAACUUGAAAAUAAGGAUGCACUACUAGUAAGCUUUUAGCAAAACAUUUUGGCUCCUUGCUCAGCCACCCCUUGUCUACCCUAAGCCUGCAUUCCUAAGUUCUCCUCUUUUCCCAUCGGGUAAGUCUUGUUGAGUACUCCCGUACUCAGGGUUUCAAUACCCCUGUUGCAAGUGGAGCGCAGGAGCCGACUUGCUUCGGACCCUGUUGUGUGACCGUCGUCGAGGUUGACGACGAAGAAGAGUGAGCGUGACCCAUGGGCAGGGUCUGUAAAUUUGUACUGUCUGUACUAAAGUUUCAGUUGCUCCGCUGGACCAGGCUUGUAAUAACACUCUACUAUUUGGAAGAACUCCUUUUGCAAAUUAAGUUAUGUAAUACUUCCGCUGUUUUACUCUGAAAUAUUAUUUUAGUCUUGUGUCGUUUGAGUUACUGCCUUAUCUUCGCAACGAAUGAUCCUGGUGUUGAGGUGGCCACUUGCUAUCCUGUAAGGGCGAGAAGAAGCAGUUUUCGUUGUUUGACCAUUACCAGUGGUCAGGACGAGCCAGCUUGGUAUGCCACAGGUAGCAGUGGAAUGAGCGUCCAGCGAUGCUCAUCGGACUUCUAAAGUGGGAGGACUCCCGGCAUCACCGUCAGAGGUCCUUAGGACAAUGGCAGGUGCCGGUGGGCCCAAACACUUAGGGGGUUCUGCCACAGCUGGUAUCAGAGCAUUCGUUGCUAAGAUGACUGCUGUACCUAUUGAAAAACUUCAAAAAUUCAUUUGGAUCUAAUACUAUGAACCUGCCUAUUUUGAGUCCAAGUGCUUAGUCCUAACCUACCCCUGUCUAUAGGCUUUCUUAGAAUUUUUGAAGUGGUAUGGAGGAGCAACAUAAGUAUUGCCCUAUGUUGUAAAAGUUUAAAGUAAUAUCGUUACGAAUUGUUAGUAGGAAUCGUAAGUUCGUGCAUGCAUCAUGAUGUAUUAACUGGUUAAGUUCCUUCCUCCUUGUUUGGGUUGGGUGAAUAGAAUCAAUCCUAUUCUUGCUAACCUUUAAGGUCUCUCUUACUAAUCUAAACUUACCCUCUACAGAAUGGCACCGAAAGAGCUGGCCGAAUUAAAAACCCAAUUACAAGAGUUGUUGCAGAAGGGUUUUAUUCAGCCCAGUUCUUCUCCAUGGGGUUGCCCAGCCUUGUUUGUGAAAAAGAAAGAUCAGACAUUAAGGCUGUGUGUCGACUAUCGUCCUCUAAAUGAGGUAACGAUUAAGAACAAGUACCCAUUGCCCCGCAUUGACUUAUUGUUUGACCAGCUAGCUGGGGCCAAAGUAUUCUCAAAAAUUGACUUGAGAUCAGGGUACCACCAAAUUAAAAUUAGGCCGGAAGAUGUGCCCAAGACAGCUUUUACAACCCGUUACGGGCUAUAUGAAUACUUGGUGAUGUCCUUUGGGUUGACCAAUGCACCGGCCCAUUUCAUGUACCUGAUGAACUCUGUCUUCAUGCCAGAACUAGAUAAAUUUGUUGUAGUCUUUAUUGACGACAUUUUGAUUUACUCCAAAACUAAGAAAGAACAUGCUGAACAUUUGAGGGUCGUGCUGACUCGUCUCAGGGAACAUCAGCUAUACGCCAAGUUCAGCAAAUGUGAGUUCUGGCUGGACAAAGUCCAUUUCCUGGGGCAUGUAUUAUCAGCGGAGGGAGUCGCUGUAGACCCAGGCAAGGUAGAAGAUGUGUUGAAUUGGAAACCCCCAACUACGGUACAUGAGGUCCGUAGUUUUUUGGGUAUGGCGGGAUAUUACCGUCGUUUUAUCCCGGACUUUUCCAGAGUCACCAAACCAAUCACAACCUUGCUCAAAAAUCAAACCAAGUUUGUUUGGUCACCCCAAUGUGAGCAAGCCUUUCAGACUCUGAAAAGGUUGUUGACAACUGCACCUGUCUUAGCCCAGCCAGAUAUUGAAAAACCCUUUGAUGUAUAUUGUGAUGCAUCAGGGAUCGGGAUAGGCUGUGUGCUAAUGCAGGAGGGUCGCGUAAUUGCAUAUGCUUCCAGACAACUCAAACCCCAUGAAGAGAAUUACCCGACCCAUGAUCUUGAACUAGCCGCCGUGGUACAUGCAUUAAAGAUCUGGCGUCAUUAUCUGUUGGGGAACACAUGUAAUCUAUAUACAGAUCACAAAAGCUUGAAGUAUAUCUUUACUCAAGCUGAGCUUAAUAUGCGCCAGCGAAGGUGGCUAGAAUUAAUUAAAGAUUACGACCUUGAGGUGCAUUAUCACCCUGGCAAGGCAAAUGUAGUAGCUGAUGCCCUCAGUCGUAAGGCUCACUGCAAUUGCGUAACAGUGAUGCCUAGAGACAUAACUUUGUGCCAAGAGCUAGAGAACUUGGGAAUAGAAAUGAUUUCCCAAGGAAGCCUUGCCAAUCUAAAGAUUGAUUUCAAUCUCGAAGCUCAAAUCAUAAAGGCACAAAAAGAAAACAAAGGCAUGAGACAUCUUAAAGAGAAGAUUUCUAAUAGAGCACCCACAGACUUUAAGGUGGAUGAUGCGGGAGUAAUCUGGUUCAAAAACCGGUUAGUGGUUCCAAAGGUACCUGAGCUACGUCAACAAAUCCUAGAUGAAACUCAUACCACGAGGUAUUCUAUUCAUCCGGGAAGCAAUAAGAUGUAUCAGGACCUAAGGCAAAGGUUUUGGUGGACAAAAAUGAAGAUAGAGAUAGCUCGCUAUGUGGCCCAAUGUGACACCUGUCGAAAGGUCAAAGCCAUUCAUCUCAAGUCCGCUGGGGAGUUGCAACCUUUGCCUAUCCCCGCAUGGAAAUGGGAUGACAUAAGUAUGGAUUUCAUAGUAGGAUUGCCCAAGACGGCCAAGGGCUUUGAUUCAAUUUGGGUCAUAGUAGAUCGUCUCACCAAAACGGCACAUUUUCUGCCUGUAAAGCUAUUGUAUCCUGCCUCCACCUAUGCUAAGAUUUAUUUCGACCGUAUCCUAAGUCUGCACGGGGUGCCAAAGACAAUAGUGUCAGAUAGAGGCACACAAUUUGUCUCCCAAUUCUGGAAAUGUUUACACGAGUCCCUGGGCACUAAACUUUUAUACAGCACAGCCUCCACCCUCAAACCGGUGGACAAACUGAAAGGGUGAAUCAAACCCUAGAAGAUCUAUUAAGAUCUUGUGCCCUGAAUUUUCCAGAUAAGUGGGAUGACUGCUUGCCUCUAGCAGAAUUUUCUUACAAUAAUAGCUACCAAGAGAGUAUCAAGAUGGCUCCUUUUGAGGCACUGUAUGGUCGCCGAUGUCGAACUCCAUUACACUGGUCGGAACCUGGAGAAAGAUGGUUCUUCGGGGUUGACCUAGUGAAAGAGACUGAGAACAAAGUGAAACAAAUCCAAAAUAACUUGAAAGUUGCUCAGUCUCGACAGAAAAGUUAUGCUGAUAAAAGACGUCGACCAUUAAAGUUCGUCAAAGGUGAUCAUGUGUAUUUAAAAGUAUCCCCAAUGAAAGGAGUAAAUCGUUUUGGUGUUAAAGGCAAGUUAGCGCCUCGUUACAUUGGUCCAUUUCCAAUCAUUGACCGAUGUGGACAGGUCGCUUACCGCCUUAAACUGCCUGAACGAUUAUCCGGGGUGCAUAAUGUGUUCCAUGUGUCUCAACUGAAAAAGUGUCUUCGGGUACCAGACCGAGUUCAAGAUAUUGAAGAUGUAGAACUUGAACCAGAUCUAACUUAUUCGGAGUAUCCUAUCCGAGUACUGGAUCAGAAAGAUAGAGUUACUCGAAGAACAACCACCAAAUGGUACAAGGUACAAUGGAGCCAGCACUCUGAAGGGGAAGCCACCUGGGAAUCUGAAGAUUACUUGCUAGAGAAUUUCCCUGAAUUCCACGCUUCUCUUCAGGAGAACAUAUGAUAAAUAAAGAGUGUACUCUAGUGAAGGAAAAGAGUCGCCAAAGCCAUGUACUUAAUGUACAUAUAUGCUUAUAAUGGAGUGUUUUCCCCAACUUCUUGCCUUAUGGGAAAGUUGAAGAUGAAAGAGUUUUGACAAAUUUCCUUUUCCAUUACUUACCCUAAGGUUUUAAAUCUCGGGGACGAGAUUUCUUUAAGGGGGAAGGGCUGUAACAUCCCCGAUGUUACGGUUACUAAAAACGGAUCAUGUCAUCAUAAGCAUUGCAAAGCAUAUUUGUUAAGCACAUUAGUAUGCAUCAACUUAAAACCAGUUUACUUUGAUUGCUUGAGCUUAGGGAGGUAGAGUGUGCUUAUGUGGUGUGUUGAUGCUUGUGUGGUUGCUAAAACCCCUAGGGUGGAAGUUUUCCGAAAAGCUAAGGGGGGGAAAACCCUGAUUUCUGGACCCUAGAAUUGCCCCUUUUUGUGCAAUUCAAAAACUAAACAAAAUUUGAGGUUGAGUUCAAAAGCAAAGUUGUAGCUCUUGGCAAGAUGUACAACUUUGGUGUUUUGAGUUUUUGAAGUUUCAAUACAAAAUUCAAAGUAAUUUUGAAAAUACAGAUUUCCGAAAAGUGUCCCCUUUUCCAACUUAAAUCCCCAAUUCAAAAUCCAUUUGGAAUUUUGAAAAGUGGUCAACAUGAAAGUUGUAGAGCACAAAAAGUUGAGCAACUUUCAUGUUGGGAGUUUUUCAAGUUGUUUAGGAAAAACAAAAGUAAUUUUGGAAAUCCUAUUUUGCCCCCAAUUCAAAAAUUUGAAUUUCAUCGAUUUGAGUUGAAAUUCCAAACUGUUUAGCCAAAUUGGCUACCUUCCACUCGGAAUCAGCUAUGGCCACCAAAAGAUGAUUUGUAGUUUACAAAAUUUUGUACAACUUUCGUUUUGGUGGAAAUUCGACUUUAGUUCAAGUUUUGGUCGAAUUUCGCAAGAAGACAAACUGUGGAUGAGGACUGCUACAGUGAUCGGCAGGGGGGGUGCUCUGCCGCCGGGGCAGAGCCGCCUCCGCGCACGCCGCCACGCAGCUGGCCACGCAGCUGCUUGCUGCUGUGCUUCGCGUGGACGUCCUCAUCCGCGAACCGCCUUCUGUCGUGGGGAUAAAGCCCCGAGUGGCCGGAGUCCCCUCUUUCUUUUCUUGAACCCCGACGCCGACGAGUUUCUUGCGCCGACCAAAUUCGCCUCACCCGUUGCCAUUCCAAGCCAUUUGAGCACCCCAGCAGCUCCGCCUUGAGCCCCGCCACCGAUUGCACCCCCAAACACACGCUCUACCCUACCGUAGCUCCUACCCGAGCCGUUUCCCUCCUCAACUCCGGCCGAGCGCCGCCGCGAGCACGUCACCGUGGCCAGCGUCAACCGGAGCCUCUACGCUGCCGCUUCUUGCUCGGUUGUAGUCGUGGUGAGCCCCUGGUGCUUUUGCGCUGCUCCAGUCACGCUCUACUCGCUCGUAGUGGCCGGCGUUUGCUCGGCCGAGGCGGCCGUCCGCCGUGCCCGUGGUCACGGGGGUAGGAUAGAGGAGAGUGGGAGAAAAGGGUGUCCCUGGGUGCGCGGGAGGUUGAGGAAGCUAACGCGUCUCACCGCGGAGGCCGAGAGCUCGCCGACGGCACGCUGGAGCUCGCCGGAGCCGCGGCACGAGGUUGAAGACGGAACUGACGGGUGGGACCCGCCCGUCAGUGUCCGCGUGAGGGAAGGGGGCAGCGCGCGUAGCGCGGUUGUGGGCCGAGCGCGCAUGGGCCAGCCUGCGGGCCAAGAUCCAGGCCGCCCACUGUGCAAAGAUCUUUUUCUUUUUCUUUUUAUGCAAUUUUUGUUUGAUGUUUGAAAUUAUGUGAUAAAUUGUGUGCUAAUCCAAAAAUGAUGAAAGUUUUUGUAUAGGUUCCAUAAAGUGGGUAGAACACAAGAAAAAUAGUGGAUUCUGUUUUCUGGUAGUUUACAUGUCUGUAAAAAUUUGCUCUUUUAAUUAGUGAAUAAAACUUCUAGGAAUUUUAAUAAUUUAUUUGUAUGUCCAAAAAUCACCAAAAAUUGUGGGGAGCCUCU
rnacentral:lncRNA from 1 species